AUUGAACGCUGGCGGCAGGCUUAACACAUGCAAGUCGAGCGAGCGGCGGACGUGUGAGUAAUGUCUGGGAAACUGCCUGCUGGAGGGGGAUCACCAUUGGAAAAGGUUGCAAACACCGCAAAACAUAAGAUGCGUUUAGAUGGGAUUAGCUAGUAGAUGGGGUAAUGGCUAACCUAGGCGACGAUCCCUAGCUGGUCUGAUAGGAUGACGAGCCACACUGGAACUAGGGCACGGUCCAGACGCCUACGCGAGGCAGCAGGGGGGAAUAUUGCGCAAUGGGCGCAAGCCUGUAGCAGCCAUGCCGCGUAGGUGAAGGAGGCCAUCGAGUUGGAAAGCUCGUUAAGCGAGGGCGCGUUACUCGCAGAAGAAGCACCGGCUAACUCCGUGCCAGCAGCCGCGGUAAUAC
rnacentral:rRNA from 1 species